CAAAGCAGAAAAUUCAGACACUUCUCCCUCAGCAUCGCAUCACCUCUAAUUUAAGCAGACAGUAAAAGAGAUAGCUAUUUGGCUGGGAACCCACUCCAUACGGGAGCCUGUCACUUUAACUGUGGGCAUUUUCCUGCCUUAACAACAACCUGUUAUGUGUUUAUCCUGGUUAUGACUCCAAUUAAAUCACGAUUUAAGAAGGGCACCAAGUACCAACAGGUGCCGAGAACAUUAAGUUAUACUGCAACCGGCAAUCGCUCUACGCUGGGGUGGUUUCAGAUGCACCCUUCCCUUUCUAGCAGCCCAAUUCCUGCUGCUUUACCUUGCUUGAAGAAAAAAAAAUAAGAAAACAAUCGAGGAGAAAAGCCUAUCAAGAGUCUUAAUUUAAGCACCCCUUCUCUUCUGCUUGCCACAGGAUACAGGGAAGGGCUGAGGGCUUCAAGAACGGGAUCCUGCCCAAGAAGUGAAAGCCUGAGCAGCGAGUUGCCCCUUCGGGAGGAGGGCAGCAUUGCCAACCACCACCUCUGUCCUCAGGCAGCCCCCGUUGUCCUCGGGCAUCCCUCCCUCGCUGCCGGCACUCACACAGAGGGAGCAAACCUGGAGCCUCCAAGCUGCUACCACCUUCUCCCAGAGCGAUCCAGCGGCGAGGUGCGAGCUCCGCAUGCGCCCAACCCUCCGAAGGAGGCACUCAGCACCUUGCGGGAUUUACUCCCUUGGCUUCCAGAUUAACAGUCUGCUCAACCUGCUCCGGGUACAACAGGGCCGGGAUGUCAAGCUAGAACAGGCACUCUGCUCCAAGCCGUCUUAACCGAAUUCAUACUCUACAGUUUCAUCUCAAUGACCAUCGCAAUUAUAUGAUUAAGCAGGUGCACUGCGCUUUCAGGUCUGUUCAACAAGCCCGAGCUUCAAUAGCCUCCGCGAUCAAACUGACAAGGCAACAAUGGAAGAGUGAACUUACAGUUCCAGCCAAGAGCCCGUCCUUUCGGGGGGGGAAAAAAAAUCCAGCCGCCAGCAAAGAUGCCGCAUUCAGCUCUAAAAGCAGCAAGAUGAUACCCUUGAAAGUUGUCAUUUAGGUAACAAAGAUGAUUUAUUUAUUUUUUUCCUCCAGUUGGUUUGGUUUUGGCAGAACGAUCUGUGGAUUUAAAGUUCUCGUAACGGCAGGUAGCACUACACGUUCUGAGCUGCGUUUAACUGGAUUUUAUUUAUAAGCCACAACCUGUGCCAGCAUUUCUGACUGCUUCGGGGGAAGGGGGGGGCUCUCACAGUUCUGAAACGGGGCCGUCACCACGUCUUUGUGCGUUUUGAAGCACCACCACGCGAUUACCCUCAUCCCUGGAGACCUCAUUAAAACAGAGCCCCAGAAGUGGAGCAGAAAGAAGUGUAGCGUGACAUUUUAAAAUUUACAUUCUGACUCGUAAAAGUUUCCAGAAAUGUCUAUCUUUUUUUAAAAGAAAAAAAACAAGAUGAAAAAACAACAACAAAACACCAGCAAACCCUACCAAAACAAGACAUUCCAGUGCACAUGCUCUUCCCCUGGGGCCAGGCCAAAGAGAACAAUGCCACGUGACCGUCCUAUUGCUCAAUGCGACUCUUGGAAGGUGUUCAAGUAGGAUGAUAAGUGCGGUGUAAGCCUAUAAUGAACAUAAAAAGGAAUUUAUCCCAAAUGUAAA